rnacentral:lncRNA from 1 species
GGAAGAAAUCUAGCAGGCAAAAUUCUGCGGGGAAGCAGAUUGCCCACGCAGGUGCCGGGGACUGUGCGAGCGUGCAUGCGCGCACAGUAUCUGUGGGAUGUGCUAAAAAUGUGCACGUCCCAUCUGCACACACGUACGAACGACACGAGCACACAGCGUGCAUCUCCCAUCAGUGCGCACGGCGCGGGGUUAGGACCAGCAAGCAUCUUAUUGUGCAUAGGCGGGCUGCCCGCACCUAAUGUAACACGCGGACAGGUGCCGCACAUAGUGCACACACUGUCCACACAACAAGCCUGCGAGGAUAGGCCCUGUGCGCGGUGCCCAGUGUGCGAAGGACCUGUGCACGACAGAACACCUGUGUGCCUACAAGCUAGCCUAAAGUGUGUCAGCGGGGGAACUACCACCUCGAUAAUUGCAUAAUUGUUGCCUUAGUCGGUGUGCCACCACUGCCGGUGGAGGAGACC